GCCACCCAGUUUCCCCAUCUGGAUGCUAACAGUUACCAGACUCCUUGUUCAUCUUCCUGAAACAGUCUGUGCCUUUAUAAAUACAUUCAUGUAUAUUAAUGUGCAUUAUUUUUUCAGAAAAUGAAGUGUCUCACAUUCUGUGUGCUGUUAAUGUGCUUUGAUUUUUUCAUUUAAUAUACAUCUUCAAGAAAUUCCCUAUCCUUACACGUAGAGAUGCUUCAUUUUAAUUUUCCAUUGCAUGAAAGGACCAUGAUAUAUUUAAUCGAUGCUAUAUUUAUGGUCACUUCACCUAAAGGCAGUUAACCCAACCUUCUCAAAUCUAACUUUGAUUUCUGCUCUGCAACUUACUGGAUAAUAAGUUUGUCAUGUUGAAUCUUUCCUUACACAACCCCUGAAGGAAGAGUCCAGUUUAAAAUAUUUUUUAACAGUCCUGGUGACCGUUUUUGUUGCUGCUAAUAAAAUCCUGGAACAUUACUCACAAGUUGCUGUUGCUUUUCCACAGUCUGGUCUAGGGACCCAGCAGGAAAGGAGUUGGUCCUGUUUUCUGGUAGAACGAGGCCAGGCAACAUAGAAAUAGUAUCUAGUUCUAGGUCUGCCCCCAACCUGCUCUGUGACCCUGAACUUUUCCUUCCCUUCUCUGAUCCUUGGCUUCUUCAAGUGUAAAACGAGGAGAUUAGACUAGAUCAAGGGUCAGCAAACUUUUCCUGUAAAGGGCCACAUAGUAAAUAUUAACUUUGCAGGUCAUAUGGCCUCUGUCACAAAUACUUAACUCCUUUGUUUAGUGUGAAAACAGCCAAGGCAGUACGUAAGCAAGUGGGUGUGGCUGUGUUUCAAUAAAACUUUGUUUAUAAAACAUGCAGUGAGUGAGAUUUGGCCCAUGGGUCAUAGUUGCUGGCCCUGGGACUAAGGGCACUUCCAUCUCUUAAUUUCUAUAAAUCUGUGAAGAGCUUUUCCACUUAGGGGAAAGAAAGGGACAAAUACCCAGCUAGUGCCCAUAUUGCAAGCACUUGUGAGGGGCUUUACAGAGAUUCCUUAGAACCCUCACUGCACUUCAGUAGGGUGGGUAUUAUGGGAGGACUGAAACUCGGGGAGCUUCUGUACUUUGCUCACUCUCUUCCUUUCAAGUCCUUUUGAGCCUUCUCUUCUCAAGCCUCAACUCCCUCCUAAAUUAGAGUAGAAAAGAUUCUCAGGGAUGCUGGCCUCCUCUGGUUGCUACAAGGAUGGAAUGAGGAAGUCCCUUAGGGCAGCCCUGGCAGAGGGAACGGCCCCGCUGAGGACUGGGGACAGGAGAGCACUGGAGUCCUGAGGGAACUGAGGGAAGCCGGGGUGGCUGAAAGGCCAGAGGCAGGAGAGAAGGGAAAGGGGUAGAAGAUGAAGCCACAGAGGUGACACAAUGCAGUGAAAGCUUCCAAGGAAUAAUUUUGGCUCCUGUGUGGAGAAUCAAGACCAGGCCCAUCUUUACAGAAUCUCCUGUUUCACAGAAUACUCCUGUUUCCUGUCCUCCUCAACACAUGAGGGUGAUCCCCUCAUUCAUCCACAAAAAGGGCAGAUGGAAAGUAUUUUCGUUGAUCGAGAGCUUGACUGUGGUUGGGGAGGAGGUGGAAGGGAGGCAACAGGGAAGCCGAGGGAAACCGGAUUUGCCAACUGAGACUUGGCUCCGUCCCUCCCCGCUGUGACCUUGGGUGCUCACGCAGACGCUCUCUCUCCAAGUUCCUCGUCUGCCACACGCCACUGCUCACCGUCUUACUGCAUCUCUGGGUUGGUGUGAAUAUCCAGCGGGAUCAUGUUUGUGAGAGCUCUCUACGAGUCUGAGGAGACUCUCCAGAUAUGUUUAUUUUUGGACUCUUGUGGACAACCAGCUGUGCACCAGGGUGGAUUGUGAAGACGUUGCUGGAUGGUUUAUGGCAGGCUACCUGGAGUCAUUUCUCCUGUUGUGAUGAUGAUAGAAACAUCUUGAAAAGCCUAGAAACCUACGGAGGAAAGUCCCUCAGGAAGCUUGAUUGUUGAACAUAUCUGACCACAGCCUCAUCCAACUGUGAUUGGUUUUCAGUUAUCAGAAGAUUUGGGCUUUCCGUGGCUGCAUCAUCUUCCCCUCUUGCCAUUUGUAAAGAGAGGUGAGUAUUGAUUCUACUUGAAAAGUAUACCCAGAAGAUGGCCUUCAUUCCAAUGGAAUGAUGAGAGUGGCCCAUUGGUACUAGGAAAUGUCAGGCUGGGAGUCGAGAAAUGAAAGAAAGGAAAGCACCCUGCAAAGCUGGUGAAGUGUGAGCUCAGAGAUUCCCAGCCUGGCGGGGAGGGGCUGCAGAGGCAGGUGUGGUCGGAGCCGAACUGAUCUUCCGCCUCAGCCUGCCUUCAUCUCCCUUCUGUCAAGACCAUGGGCUAGGGCUUCCCUGGUGGCGCAGUGGUUGGGAGUUUGCCUGCCGAUGCAGGGGACGCGGGUUCGUGCCCCGGUCCGGGAAGAUCCUACAUGCCGCGGAGCGGCUGGGCCUGUGAGCCAUGGCCGCUGAGCCUGCGCGUCCGGAGCCUGUGCUCCGCAACGGGAGAGGCCCGCGUACUGCAAAAA